rnacentral:rRNA from 1 species
UACAGAGGGUGCAAGCGUUAUUCGGAAUUACUGGGCGUAAAGCGUGCGUAGGCGGUUGCGUAAGUCAGAUGUGAAAGCCCCGGGCUCAACCUGGGAAUUGCAUUUGAGACUGCGUAGCUAGGGUGCGGAAGAGGGAAGCGGAAUUUCCGGUGUAGCGGUGAAAUGCGUAGAGAUGUGGAGGAACACCGAUGGCGAAGGCAGCCCCCUGGGCUAACACUGACGCUCAUGCACGAAAGCGUGGGGAGCAAACAGG